GGAAUAUGCGUGAGCCCCUUUUGUCAGGAGAUUGGUCGAUGAUCGGCAAACCGAUCGUAGGAGUAUGACGAGUAACCAAUGUCAUCGCGAUUAAUAUUUGUCGUUGAUCAAAGGACUAAAACGCAAACGUAACACGACACGGGACGAUGCCUGAUAUUACAAUCGUUUAGUUUGAAAUAUUACGGAAAAAUGGAAUUCUUUCUUAUGAAAUUCCGCACGUAUAGACAUAUAUAUGUGUGAUUUUGAUAAAUGCAUUUUGCAAUUAAUACUUUACCUUGCAUACUUUUAAGCAAUUCCUCAUUAAAAACUAACGAAUAAGAGGAUUUUUUAAAGAGGAACUUUUAAAAAGGAUUCUAAAUACUUAGAAACGCAUAAUAAUUGUAUUAAGUUGGAAAAGUUCGUGACAGAGUUCUGCAUCAUCAACUUCGCUGCUGUAACAGAACGACAUCUGAUGGUAGGUCAAUGAAAUUUCUACUUCUCUGAAAUAUCGAUGUAGCUCGGAAUUAUGUGUUGAGUUUCUACUCUAGCUACUGUAUGCGCAUAACGUCUGAACCAGUGAUAAAAUUCGUGACAAAAAAUAGAAAGUUAACGUUACCUUAUGACGAGUCGGAGUUGCUCUGAUUGAUUUCUCAACGCAUGUAGAGGCCGCUUAGCUUCUUCGGAUAAUUCAUUCCACUUGCAAUCUACUUUCUCUAACUGUGAGAAAUAAUUUAUCAAACAUUUAUGUACUUCCUUUGCCAUGUCGUCUAUAGGUUAUUAAACAACUUUGGACAUGUCCUAAUAGCUUCUGGUAGAAGAAACAGAGAGCGCUGAUUCACACUAAUGUUAUCACCGCAAAGAAAAUUUUGUAUUGAUGUAUCCAAUGUGUUAUAAAUACAAAAUUCGCAACAUAGAUAGAUUAAAUCAAUCCAAAAUUUACUAUCAUUAUAUUAAAUAAUAAUUGGACAUAUAAAAAUUGGACAAUGAAACAUUUUUUAUUAAAUACGUAACUGUAAUUGACCAUCACGGAUAAAUUAUGCAAUUAAUGCUAUUGUUUGUUUCAUUUUAUAAAUCAAAUUAUUUCUGUAGAUAUAUUACAUUAUCAUUAUAAUUAUUUAGAUAAAAAGCACUUGAUUAUUGGUUAGUCGCGGCAUUGAUAGUACUGUCAUUGACGAUUUGAGAUCUCUUUCACAAGGUUCGUAAAACUGAUCUCUCGUGUAAACUCAUUCAUUCAUACAGAAACACAGCUUAUAUGAAACAGAGAGAAACAAGAACCUUUCUUCCGUUUAAUUGUGCUUAGAAUAGAGCGAAGCACAACCAUUGUAUCUGAAAUAUACAUACAUAUAUAAAUGCAAAAACAUCGAUAUUAAAUUACAGAAAAUAUAAAAAUAUUGUUAAUUAAAUACAGAAAAUUUAUUAUAUUUAUAAAUACAGAAUUAAUUUAUUAUAUUUAUCUUUUAUUUACCUAUGUAUAAUUUACUCAACUACAUUGGUAAUAAUAAAUGUAUCUAUGAAAUAUUCAA